GGGAUUGUGGUUUUGUGGUAGAGUGUUUACCUAGCAUGUAUAAGGACCCAGGUUCAAUUCCUCAGUACCA
rnacentral:tRNA from 1 species